rnacentral:rRNA from 1 species
AGAGUUUGAUCCUGGCUCAGAAUCAACGCUGGCGGCGUGCCUAACACAUGCAAGUCGAACGAGAAAGUUAUCUUCGGAUAGCGAGUAAAGUGGCAAACGGGUGAGUAACGCGUGGGACAUCUACCCUGAUGAGGGGAAUAACUCUCCGAAAGGAGAGCUAAUACCGCAUAAUCCGGUUUACCGGGAAAGGCCUUCGGGUCACAUUAGGAGGAGCCCGCGUCCGAUUAGCUAGUUGGUGAGGUAAUGGCUCACCAAGGCUGCGAUCGGUAGCCGGUCUGAGAGGACGGACGGCCACACUGGGACUGAGACACGGCCCAGACUCCUACGGGAGGCAGCAGUGGGGAAUUUUGGGCAAUGGGCGCAAGCCUGACCCAGCAACGCCGCGUGGAGGAAGAAGGUUUUCGGAUCGUAAACUCCUGUCCCAUGAGACGAAAAAAAUGACGGUAUCAUGGGAGGAAGCCCCGGCUAACUCCGUGCCAGCAGCCGCGGUAAUACGGGGGGGGCAAGCGUUGUUCGGAAUUACUGGGCGUAAAGGGCGCGUAGGCGGUUUCGGAAGUCAAGGGUGAAAGCCCCGAGCUCAACUCGGGAAUUGCCUUUGAAACCACGGAACUAGAGUGUUGGAGAGGAAAGCGGAAUUUCCAGUGUAGCGGUGAAAUGCGUAGAUAUUGGAAGGAACAUCUGAGGCGAAGGCGGCUUUCUGGACAGACACUGACGCUGAGGCGCGAAAGCUAGGGGAGCGAACGGGAUUAGAUACCCCGGUAGUCCUAGCUGUAAACGAUGAACACUUGGUGUGGGGGGUAUAAAGUCCCUCCGUGCCGUAGAUAACUCGAUAAGUGUUCCGCCUGGGGAGUACGGCCGCAAGGCUGAAACUCAAAGGAAUUGACGGGGCCCGCACAAGCGGUGGAGCAUGUGGUUUAAUUCGACGCAACGCGAAGAACCUUACCGGGGUUUGAACUGUACCGGCAACAUCCAGAGAUGGAUGGUUUCCUUCGGGAACUGGUAUAGAGGUGCUGCAUGGCUGUCGUCAGCUCGUGUCGUGAGAUGUUGGGUUAAGUCCCGCAACGAGCGCAACCCUUGUCUGUAGUUGCCAUCAGGUUAUGCUGGGCACUCUACGGAGACUGUCGGCGAUAAGCCGGAGGAAGGUGGGGAUGACGUCAAGUCCUCAUGGCCUUUAUGUCCCGGGCUACACACGUGCUACAAUGGGUGGAACAGAGGGCAGCGAGCCUGCGAAGGCAAGCGAAUCCCAAAAAUCCAUUCUCAGUUCGGAUUGCAGUCUGCAACUCGACUGCAUGAAGUUGGAAUCGCUAGUAAUCGCGGAUCAGAACGCCGCGGUGAAUACGUUCCCGGGCCUUGUACACACCGCCCGUCACAUCACGAAAGUGGGCUGUACUAGAAGCCGCCGGCCUAACCUCUUCGGAGGAGGGAGGCGUCGACGGUAUGGUUCAUGAUUGGGGUGAAGUCGUAACAAGGUA